UAAUGGUCUGAUCAUGGGGCUGAGCUGGAAUUACACACACGCACACACACUGGAAUUAUCAUUAACGCUACAGCUUAAUUAGCCUGGUUAGUCAUUAGGAUGCAGAAUCAGAGAUGGGCUGUCAUUUGGGAGGCAGGCGUUGUUGUUGUUGUUGUUUGAGUCUGUAUUUUCCGCCUGAGAACACCUGCCCUGGUGGGCGUAAGGGAGAAAGAGCCUGGCUGCUUUGACCCCCUUUUGUGUUCAACUAAAAAGUGCUGUGAUGAAAAUGCGCCGUAGAGAAUGAAGUGGAGGCCUACGCAGCGGCAGUGUGUGUUCUGGCUUGUCUUCAUCUGAACAUGUGAAUGUCCUUGAAUGUAGGCUACAUCAGUGAGCAAAUGCAUCUGUGGCAGUUUAAAAUGUGGCGCAAUGAAAGAUGGGUGUGGGAGUCAAGAAUGCAAGGUUUGGACCAACACCACCCUAUCUGCACCAGUCUUGGUGUUCAUCAAGGUUUGGACCAACACCACCCUAUCUGCACCAGUCUUGGUGUUCAUCAAGGUUUGG
ensembl:lncRNA